rnacentral:rRNA from 1 species
GAUGAACGCUGGCGGUAUGCUUAACACAUGCCAGUCGAACGGACUCUUCGGGGUUAGUGCGGGAGGGGGGGGAAACGCGUGGGAACCUGGCUUUGGGUUCGGGACAACACCGGGAAACGUUGCCUAAACCCGGUGUUGCCAGGGGGAAAAAGAGAAAUUGCCUGAAGAUGAGCUCGCGUCUGAUUAGCUAGUUGGUGAGGUAAAGGCUCACCAAGGCAGCGAUCAGUAGCUGGUCUGAGAGGAUGACCAGCCACACUGGGACUGAGACACGGCCCAGACUCCUACGGGAGGCAGCAGUGGGGAAUUUUCCGCAAUGGGCGAAAGCCUGACGGAGCAAUACCGCGUGAGGGAAGAAGGCUCUUGGGUUGUAAACCUCUUUUCUUAGGGAAGAACAAAAUGACGGUACCUAAGGAAUCAGCAUCGGCUAACUCCGUG